GACGAACGCUGGCGGCGUGCUUAACACAUGCAAGUCGAGCGGUAAGGCCCUUUCCGGGGUACACGAGCGGCGAACGGGUGAGUAACACGUGAGUAAUCUGCCCUUCACUUGGGGAUAAGCACCGGAAACGGUGUCUAAUACCCGAUACGACCGGCUCCUGCAUGGGGUGUUGGUGGAAAGUUUUUUCGGUGGGGGAUGUGCUCGCGGCCUAUCAGCUUGUUGGUGGGGUAAUGGCCUACCAAGGCUUCGACGGGUAGCCGGCCUGAGAGGGUGACCGGCCACACUGGGACUGAGACACGGCCCAGACUCCUACGGGAGGCAGCAGUGGGGAAUAUUGGACAAUGGGCGGAAGCCUGAUCCAGCAACGCCGCGUGAGGGAUGACGGCCUUCGGGUUGUAAACCUCUUUCAGUACUGACGAAGCGCCCUUGGGGUGGUGACGGUAGGUGCAGAAGAAGGACCGGCCAACUACGUGCCAGCAGCCGCAGUAACAC
rnacentral:rRNA from 1 species